rnacentral:rRNA from 1 species
GACGAACGCUGGCGGCGUGCUUAACACAUGCAAGUCGAACGGAAAGGCCCUGCUUUUGUGGGGUGCUCGAGUGGCGAACGGGUGAGUAACACGUGAGUAACCUGCCCUUGACUUUGGGGUAACUUCAGGAAACUGGGGCUAAUACCGGGUAGGAGCUCCUGCUGCAUGGUGGGGGUUGGAAAGUUUCGGCGGUUGGGGAUGGACUCGCGGGUUAUCCGCUUGUUGGUGGGGUAGUGGCUUACCAAGGCUUUGACGGGUAGCCGGCCUGAGAGGGGGACCGGCGACAUGGGGACUGAGAGACGGACCAGACUCCUACGGGAGGCAGCGGUCGGGAAUAUUGCACAAUGGGCGGAAGCCAGAGGCAGCGACGUCGGGAGCGGGAUGCUGGCUUUCGGGGUAAAAACCGCUUUCGCCUGUGCUGAAGAGUGAGUGACGGUACUGGGUAAAGAAGCACCGGCUAACUACGUG